rnacentral:rRNA from 1 species
CAUCAGAUGUGCCCAGAUGGGAUUAGCUAGUAGGUGGGGUAAUGGCUCACCUAGGCGACGAUCCCUAGCUGGUCUGAGAGGAUGUCCAGCCACACUGGAAUUCUGAGACACGGUUCCUAGCGAUUCCUACGGGAGGCAGCAGUGGGGAAUAUUGCACAAUGCGGACUACGACAAGCCUGAUGCAGCCAUGCCGCGUGCUAUGAAGAAGGCGCUUCGGGUUGUAAAGUACUUUCUAGCGAGGAGUGAAGGCGGUGAGGUUAAUAACCUUGAUCGACUUGACGUUACCCGCAGAUUCCUCCAGAUUAGCACCGGCUAACUCCGUUGAGUUCCAGGCAGAACCGCGGUAAUACGGAGGGUGCAAGCGUUAAGCUCGGAAUUACUGGGCGUAAAGCGACAUUUCGCAGGACGGUCUGUCAAGUCGGAUGUGAAAUCCCCGGGCUCACACCUGGCGAACUGCAUUCGAAACAUGGCAGGCUAGAGUCUUGUAGAGGGGGGUAGAAUUCCAGGUGCUACGCGGUGAAAUGCGUAGAGAUCUGGAGGAAUCACCGGUGGCGAAGGCGGCCCCCUGGACAAAGACUGACGCUCAGGUGCGAAAGCGUGGGGAGCAAACAGGAUUAGAUACCCUGGUAGUCCACGCCGUAAACGA